rnacentral:rRNA from 1 species
GACGAACGCUGGCGGCGUGCUUAACACAUGCAAGUCGAACGGAAAGGCCCUGCUUUUGUGGGGUGCUCGAGUGGCGAACGGGUGAGUAACACGUGAGUAACCUGCCCUUGACUUUGGGAUAACUUCAGGAAACUGGGGCUAAUACCGGAUAGGAGCUCCUGCUGCAUGGUGGGGGUUGGAAAGUUUCGGCGGUUGGGGAUGGACUCGCGGCUUAUCAGCUUGUUGGUGGGGUAGUGGCUUACCAAGGCUUUGACGGGUAGCCGGCCUGAGAGGGUGACCGCCCACUUUGGGACUGAGAUGCGGCCGAGACUCCUGCGGGGGACAGCAGGGGGGAAUUUUGCAAAAUGGGCGGAAGCCUGAUGCAGCAGCGCCGCGGGCGGGAUGACGGCUUUCGGUUUGUAAACCGUUUUCGCCUGUGACGAACUGUGAGUGACGGUAGUGGGUAAAGAAGCACCGGCUAACUACGUG